rnacentral:rRNA from 1 species
CGAAAGCCUGACGCAGCCAUGCCGCGUGAAUGAUGAAGGUCUUAGGAUUGGUAAAAUUCUUUACACCGGGGUACGAGUAAUGACGGUACCCCGGAGAAGAAGACCCCGGCUAACUUCGUGCCAGCAGCCGCGGUAAUACGAAGGGGCGUAGCGUUGCUCGGAUUACUGGCGUAAAGGGAGCGUAGGCGGACAUUAAGUCAGGGUGAAAUCCGGGGCGUCAACCUCGGAAUUGCCUUUGAUACUGGAUGUCUUGAGUGUGAGAGAGGUAUGUGGAACUCCGAGUGUAGAGGUGAAAAUUCGUAGAUAUUCGGAAGAACACCAGUGGCGAAGGCGACAUACUGGCUCAUUACUGACGCUGAGGCUCGAAAGCGUGGGGAGCAAACAGGAUUAGAUACCCUGGUAG